GACGAACGCUGGCGGCGUGCCUAAUACAUGCAAGUUGAGCGCUGAAGGUUGGUACUUGUACCAACUGGAUGAGCAGCGAACGGGUGAGUAACGCGUGGGGAAUCUGCCUUUGAGCGGGGGACAACAUUUGGAAACGAAUGCUAAUACCGCAUAAAAACUUUAAACACAAGUUUUAAGUUUGAAAGAUGCAAUUGCAUCACUCAAAGAUGAUCCCGCGUUGUAUUAGCUAGUUGGUGAGGUAAAGGCUCACCAAGGCGAUGAUACAUAGCCGACCUGAGAGGGUGAUCGGCCACAUUGGGACUGAGACACGGCCCAAACUCCUACGGGAGGCAGCAGUAGGGAAUCUUCGGCGAUGGACGAAAGUCUGACCGAGCAACGCCGCGUGAGUGAAGAAGGGUUUCGGAUCGUAAAACUCUGUUGGUAGAGAAGAACGUUGGUGAGAGUGGAAAGCUCAUCAAGUGACGGUAACUACCCAGAAAGGGACGGCUAACUACGUG
rnacentral:rRNA from 1 species